UACAGAGGUCUCAAGCGUUGUUCGGAUUCAUUGGGCGUAAAGGGUGCGUAGGCGGCGCGGUAAGUCGGGUGUGAAAUCUCGGAGCUUAACUCCGAAACUGCAUUCGAUACUGCCGUGCUUGAGGACUGGAGAGGAGACUGGAAUUUACGGUGUAGCGGUGAAAUGCGUAGAUAUCGUAAGGAAGACCAGUGGCGAAGGCGGGUCUCUGGACCAGUACUGACGCUGAGGCACGAAAGCGUGGGGAGCAAACAGG
rnacentral:rRNA from 1 species